rnacentral:tRNA from 1 species
GGAGAUGUGGCCGAGUGGUUGAAGGCGCUUGAUUCGAAAUCAAGUGUAGGGGCAACUCUACCGGGGGUUCGAAUCCCUCCAUCUCCG